rnacentral:rRNA from 1 species
GAUCCUGGCUCAGAUUGAACGCUGGCGGAAUGCUUUACACAUGCAAGUCGAACGGUAGAGGGGGCAACCCUUGAGAGUGGCGAACGGGUGAGUAAUAUAUCGGAACGUGCCCAGUCGUGGGGGAUAACGUAGCGAAAGUUACGCUAAUACCGCAUACGAUCUACGGAUGAAAGCGGGGGAUCGCAAGACCUCGCGCGAUUGGAGCGGCCGAUAUCAGAUUAGGUAGUUGGUGGGGUAAAGGCUCACCAAGCCAACGAUCUGUAGCUGGUCUGAGAGGACGACCAGCCACACUGGAACUGAGACACGGUCCAGACUCCUACGGGAGGCAGCAGUGGGGAAUUUUGGACAAUGGACGCAAGUCUGAUCCAGCCAUUCCGCGUGCAGGAUGAAGGCCCUCGGGUUGUAAACUGCUUUUGUACGGAACGAAAAGGUUUCUAUUAAUACUAGGAGCUCAUGACGGUACCGUAAGAAUAAGCACCGGCUAACUACGUG